AAAAGACAAAAAAAAUGGGGGAAAAAACCAACCUAACCGAAGAAUUAAUUAUCAGUAGCCAGAUGUCGUUUAAUCAAUACGCCACCGUAGUACAUUAUGUAUUGUUGUUAUAUCGGUUUUAACUCGAUUAAAUUACUUGUUUUUUUUUUUUCCGGAACACAAUAUUAUAUUAUAUUGCCGAACGUCGAACACGCGUAAUCUGUUCAAAGGGGUCUCCUAUACCGUUCGUUUGUGGGCGCGACGUUUCGUGCAAAGGACGCGGGAAAGACUACGGACGU